rnacentral:misc_RNA from 1 species
GAUGAAGAACGUAGCGAAAUGCGAUACGUAAUGUGAAUUGCAGAAUUCAGUGAAUCAUCGAAUCUUUGAACGCAUAUUGCGCUCUCUGGUAUUCCGGAGAGCAUGCUUGUUUGAGUAUCAGUAAACACCUCAACUUCCAUAUCUUUUUUGAAAUGGGAGUUGGACUUGAGUGAUCCCAACGCUUUUCCUCACCGAAAAGUGGCGGGUUACUUGAAAUGCAGGUGCAGCUGGACUUUUCUCUGAGCUAUAAGCAUAUCUAUUUAGUCUGCCUAAAAACAGAUUAUUACCUUUGCUGCAGCUAACAUAAAGGAGAUUAGUUCUUGUGCUGACUGAUGCAGGAUUCACAAAGACAGGCUUCGGCCGACUUUGUAAACUCGAUCUCAAAUCAAGUAAGACUACCCGCUGAACUUAAGCAUAUCAAUAAGCGGAGGA